rnacentral:rRNA from 1 species
UACGUAGGGGGGCUAGCGUUGUCCGGAAUCAUUGGGCGUAAAGCGCGUGUAGGCGGCCCGGUAAGUCCGCUGUGAAAGUCGGGGGCUCAACCCUCGAAUGCCGGUGGAUACUGUCGGGCUUGAGUACGGGAGAGGCGAGUGGAAUUCCUGGUGUAGCGGUGAAAUGCGGCAGAUAUCAGGAAGAACACCCGUGGCGAAGGCGGCUCUCUGGUACGUGACUGACGCUGAGACGCGAAAGCGUGGGGAGCGAACAGG